rnacentral:rRNA from 1 species
CCUACGGGUGACAGCAGUAGGGAAUCUUCCACAAUGGGCGAAAGCCUGAUGGAGCAACGCCGCGUGGGUGAAGAAGGUCUUCGGAUCGUAAAACCCUGUUGUUAGAGAAGAAAGUGCGUGAGAGUAACUGUUCACGUUUCGACGGUAUCUAACCAGACAGCCACGGCUAACUACGUGCCAGCAGCCGCGGUAAUACGUAGGUGGCAAGCGUUAUCCGGAUUUAUUGGGCGUAAAGGGAACGCAGGCGGUCUUUUAAGUCUGAUGUGAAAGCCUUCGGCUUAACCGGAGUAGUGCAUUGGAAACUGGGAGACUGGAGUGCAGAAGAGGAGAGUGGAACUCCAUGUGUAGCGGUGAAAUGCGUAGAUAUAUGGAAGAACACCAGUGGCGAAAGCGGCUCUCUGGUCUGUAACUGACGCUGAGGUUCGAAAGCGUGGGUAGCAAACAGGAUUAGAUACCCCAGUAGUC